AUGAUUUUCGUUGUAAGGUGUAUUUUUUUUUUCAAACUUCAAAAAUCCAACAAGUUUGAUUCAUGCUUCAUAGAGGAGACAUGUUCUAAGGUGGUGGCAAGGAAGUUCAGUGUCAACACUUCUAAAACUGGUGACAACAACAAGAGGUGCAGAAAGAUCUUUGAGAAGGGCAAGAGGUUUUCCUUUGAGGGGGAGUAUUGGUUAUGUGUGACAGAAGGAGUAAUGGUCAUGUCUGAAGUUGUUGAUUGUUAUUCUUAG